rnacentral:rRNA from 1 species
GGGGAAUAUUGCACAAUGGGCGCAAGCCUGAUGCAGCCAUGCCGCGUGUAUGAAGAAGGCCUUCGGGUUGUAAAGUACUUUCAGCGAGGAGGAAGGCGUUAAGGUUAAUAACCUUAGCGAUUGACGUUACUCGCAGAAGAAGCACCGGCUAACUCCGUGCCAGCAGCCGCGGUAAUACGGAGGGUGCAAGCGUUAAUCGGAAUUACUGGGCGUAAAGCGCACGCAGGCGGUCUGUCAAGUCGGAUGUGAAAUCCCCGGGCUCAACCUGGGAACUGCAUUCGAAACUGGCAGGCUAGAGUCGUGUAGAGGGGGGUAGAAUUCCAGGUGUAGCGGUGAAAUGCGUAGAGAUCUGGAGGAAUACCGGUGGCGAAGGCGGCCCACUGGACAAAGACUGACGCUCAGGGGCGAAAGCGUGGGGAGCAAAC